UUUGAUCGGUAAAUGGAUCGACAGGAGGUUUAGUAAUAUUUAAUAACUGAUAGGUAGAUGGAGGUUUAGUAAUAUUUAAUAACUGAUAGGUAGAUGGAGGUUUAGUAAUAUUUAAUAACUGAUAGGUAGAUGGAGGUUUAGUAAUAUUUAAUAACUGAUAGGUAGAUGGAGGUUUAGUAAUAUUUAAUAACUGAUAGGUAGAUGGAGGUUUAGUAAUAUUUAAUAACUGAUAGGUAGAUGGAGGUUUAGUAAUAUUUAAUAACUGAUAGGUAGAUGGAGGUUUAGUAAUAUUUAAUAACUGAUAGGUAGAUGGAGGUUUAGUAAUAUUUAAUAACUGAUAGGUAGAUGGAGGUUUAGUAAUAUUUAAUAACUGAUAGGUAGAUGGAGGUUUAAUAAUAUUUAAUAACUGAUAGGUAGAUGGAGGUUUAGUAAUAUUUAAUAACUGAUAGGUAGAUGGAGGUUUAGUAAUAUUUAAUAACUGAUAGGUAGAUGGCGGUUUAGUAAUAUUUAAUAACUGAUAGGUAGAUGGAGGUUUAGUAAUAUUUAAUAACUGAUAGGUAGAUGGAGGUUUAGUAAUAUUUAAUAACUGAUAGGUAGAUGGAGGUUUAGUAAUAUUUAAUAACUGAUAGGUAGAUGGAGGUUUAGUAAUAUUUAAUAACUGAUAGGUAGAUGGAGGUUUAGUAAUAUUUAAUAACUGAUAGGUAGAUGGAGGUUUAGUAAUAUUUAAUAACUGAUAGGUAGAUGGAGGUUUAGUAAUAUUUAAUAACUGAUAGGUAGAUGGAGGUUUAGUAAUAUUUAAUAACUGAUAGGUAGAUGGAGGUUUAGUAAUAUUUAAUAACUGAUAGGUAGAUGGAGGUUUAGUAAUAUUUAAUAACUGAUAGGUAGAUGGAGGUUUAGUAAUAUUUAAUAACUGAUAGGUAGAUGGAGGUUUAGUAAUAUUUAAUAACUGAUAGGUAGAUGGAGGUUUAGUAAUAUUUAAUAACUGAUAGGUAGAUGGAGGUUUAGUAAUAUUUAAUAACUGAUAGGUAGAUGGAUCGACAGGAGGUUUAGUAAUAUUUAAUAACUGAUAGGUAGAUGGAGGUUUAGUAAUAUUUAAUAACUGAUAGGUAGAUGGAGGUUUAGUAAUAUUUAAUAACUGAUAGGUAGAUGGAGGUUUAGUAAUAUUUAAUAACUGAUAGGUAGAUGGAGGUUUAGUAAUAUUUAAUAACUGAUAGGUAGAUGGAGGUUUAGUAAUAUUUAAUAACUGAUAGGUAGAUGGCGGUUUAGUAAUAUUUAAUAACUGAUAGGUAGAUGGAGGUUUAGUAAUAUUUAAUAACUGAUAGGUAGAUGGAGGUUUAGUAAUAUUUAAUAACUGAUAGGUAGAUGGAGGUUUAGUAAUAUUUAAUAACUGAUAGGUAGAUGG